AGAGAGCUUCUACAACUCAACAGAAAUCAAUGCAGCUUAAAAAUGAGCACAGGAUGUGAACAGACAUUUCUCCGAAGGAGAUACACAAACGACCAAUAACCACAUGAAAACAAGCUAAAAACCAAAGAAUCUACGUUCCACUCCAAGGGGGAAGGAAGAGCGUUCGUCAUUCUCUGAGUUUCUCCUAGGCCCCCAAACACCCGAUAACAUCUAAGAAGAGCCAGAUCCCAAACAAGUUCUAGGACAUUAGCUUCAAACAAACCUCAGCCAAGAUUCCUGGAGGAACACGUUCCCUGGACCCUCUUCCAAAUAACCCCCCAGCCCCAAGUGACGACAGGACUCAUUCUCCAUUCCUUUCCGAGUCUCCCAGACAUUCUGUCUGGUAUUUUCCCUCACACUUUUCGAUAAACUCUGUUUUCACUUUC